CAGAGUAAAGUGGAUUAAACGUUGUUCAUUAACAAGAUAAAGAUAAAGCAAAUACUUGCAGACGUUAACUAGCAAUUAUCACCAUGCUUCCUCUUAAGCACUCAGGCUUUGCUUUUAACAUUGUUUCAGAGUCCUGAUUGGGGUAUGAAGAAAGCUACUAUCUACAAGAUCAGAAUAUUUGCAUAAUAUUUUAGACAGAAUUUGAUUAGCUCUAGAAAUUCAAAAUGUUGGCAGAGGGGGUCAGAUUUUGGGCUAAACUUUGAAGCCAAGGACUGUUCAACCAAAAAUUGAUGUCCUGAUUAUUCCAGUCCAUGCUCAAUUUGGGCACUUCCAGCUCUGUUAGCUUGUCAUUUCCAUUUGGUAAUUGCAGAGAAGACCCUUUCUUCCCCUUUUCCUUUUCGUCUCUUGUAUAAUUUUUGUUAUCAAUAUUAUCAUCAUCAUUCACCAUUGCCAAAUCUUCUAGUUCUUUCUUGAAAACCACAUGGUGAAGACAUAUUGGAGCCACUGGGUCUUCUUGUUUGCUGCAAAAUGACAUGUUGUCCAAUGAAGAAAGUGGAGAUGACGGUGGAGAUGCAUGAAUUGUCUUCAUUUCUUCUUCCAUUGCAGCCCUUUGCUCCAGCACCUUCAAGGAGGUUGCCUUCCUAUAUAUCUUACACAAGACUAUAUCCUUAGGUGAGCGGCAAGAAUCAGGCAGGCGAUAUUCAUUCAUGACCCAAUCAGUCUUGCUUCCUCUUGGAGCUCUUCCCUUGUAGAAAACAAGUGUCUUUCUCAAUCCAAUAAUCCUCUUAGGGUCAGAUAAACUCACAAUUUUCCUGUCAGAACCGGUAGCUUUCCAAAAUCCAUUCACGGUAGUUCUAUUAGGUCUCCCUCCACUACCGUGCCUCCUGUCUCUUGGCACAAAAAAGUACCAUUCCCUCUCUCCACUCUUAGCCAUUCCAGGCAAUUCCCAAGGUUCAUGAUGAUAGAUGUUAAGGUAUCCAAUAAUAUCAUAACGCAAUUUCUUCCCAAAAACCAUGUUUUUGAGGUAGAAAUCGAGAAGCUCCUCUUCUGUGGGAUGGAAUCGAAACCCAGGAAGGUCAAGCUCCUCCAUUUAUGCUAGCUUAGAGUAGACUAGUAUGUAUGUGUGUGAAAGCAAAUGGUAGCUAUAAUGGGUGCUUCUGUUUUUAGUUUUAGUGGUUGCAAAGAGAAUCUAAAUGCUUACACAAGUGGUUGCACUUUGCACACACUCUUGCAGGGGAUAUUUGUAGGGGGAGGGUUUAAGAUUUUAUAUUGGUUGGGUGUG
rnacentral:misc_RNA from 1 species